rnacentral:tRNA from 1 species
UAUCAUGAAGACAAGAUGGCUGAUAUAGGCGAGGAACUGUAAAUUCUUUUAUAAACUUUGUUUUCUUGUUA